rfam:Culex pipiens quinquefasciatus supercont3.1 genomic scaffold, whole genome shotgun sequence.
GCCCGUGUGGAUCAAUCACUGGACUCACAAUCCAGAGAUCGCCGGUUCGAAUCCCGCGGCGGGCG